rnacentral:rRNA from 1 species
AUUGAACGCUGGCGGAAUGCUUUACACAUGCAAGUCGAACGGUAGAGGGGGCAACCCCUUGAGAGUGGCGAACGGGUGAGUAAUAUAUCGGAACGUGCCCAGUCGUGGGGAUAACGUAGCGAAAGUUACGCUAAUACCGCAUACGAUCUAAGGAUGAAAGCGGGGGAUCGCAAGACCUCGCGCGAUUGGAGCGGCCGAUAUCAGAUUAGGUAGUUGGUGAGGUAAAGGCUCACCAAGCCAACGAUCUGUAGCUGGUCUGAGAGGACGACCAGCCACACUGGAACUGAGACACGGUCCAGACUCCUACGGGAGGCAGCAGUGGGGAAUUUUGGACAAUGGACGCAAGUCUGAU